CUGGGAGACCUUCCUCAGGGUGUGACCUUUGACAAGUCAAGCCCUCGCCCUGGCAUCCCUUCCAGCCGGAUAUUCUGCGGCUCCAGGCAGAGGCAGUCUUCCUCAGGGAGAUCCUUGGCCCAGAACCCCAGGCCCACAAGCCUGCUGAAGACUGAAGGGCCGUGUUUUAGCCUGUGGCCUGCUGGAGGCGGAGCAGAGGCUUCAUGGGGCCAAGGUUUGGAAAGAAGUCUGCAAGGAUGCCCCCAACAUGAG